rnacentral:rRNA from 1 species
CAGGUUUGACAUGCAGAGGAAUUUACAAGAGAUUGUAAAGCCGAAAGGUCUCUGUGC